UGUCUCCUCCACCCUCCUCUAAAGGUGGAUUAAACCCGGGGUUCAUCCCCCGGGUUUUUUUUC
rnacentral:ncRNA from 18 species